UGAGUAACGCGUGAGGAACCUGCCUUUCAGUGGGGGACAACAGUUGGAAACGACUGCUAAUACCGCAUAAUACUUUUUGGGGACAUCCCUGAAAAGUCAAAGCUUUAUGUGCUGAAAGAUGGCCUCGCGUCUGAUUAGCUUGUUGGCGGGGUAACGGCCCACCAAGGCGACGAUCAGUAGCCGGUCUGAGAGGAUGAACGGCCACAUUGGGACUGAGAUACGGCCCAGACUCCUACGGGAGGCAGCAGUGGGGAAUAUUGGGCAAUGGGGGAAACCCUGACCCAGCAACGCCGCGUGAAGGAAGAAGGCCCUCGGGUUGUAAACUUCUUUUACCAGGGACGAAGGACGUGACGGUACCUGGAGAAAAAGCAACGGCUAACUACGUGCCAGCAGCCGCGGUAAUACGUAGGUUGCAAGCGUUGUCCGGAUUUACUGGGUGUAAAGGGCGUGUAGGCGGAGAUGCAAGUUGGGAGUGAAAUCCCGGGGCUCAACCCCGGAACUGCUUUCAAAACUGUAUCCCUUGAGUAUCGGAGAGGCAAGCGGAAUUCCUAGUGUAGCGGUGAAAUGCGUAGAUAUUAGGAGGAACACCAGUGGCGAAGGCGGCUUGCUGGACGACAACUGACGCUGAGGCGCGAAAGCGUGGGGAGCAAACAGGAUUAGAUACCCUGGUAGUCCACGCUGUAAACGAUGAAUACUAGGUGUGGGAGGACUGACCCCUUCCGUGCCGCAGUUAACACAAUAAGUAUUCCACCUGGGGAGUACGACCGCAAGGUUGAAACUCAAAGGAAUUGACGGGGGCCCGCACAAGCAGUGGAUUAUGUGGUUUAAUUCGACGCAACGCGAAAGAACCUUACCAGGACUUGACAUCCAACUAACGAAGCA
rnacentral:rRNA from 1 species